rnacentral:rRNA from 1 species
AUUGAACGCUGGCGGCAGGCUUAACACAUGCAAGUCGAGCGGGGGAAGGUAGCUUGCUACUGGACCUAGCGGCGGACGGGUGAGCAAUGCUUAGGAAUCUGCCUAUUAGUGGGGGACAACAUCUCGAAAGGGAUGCUAAUACCGCAUACGUCCUACGGGAGAAAGCAGGGGAUCUUCGGACCUUGCGCUAAUAGAUGAGCCUAAGUCGGAUUAGCUAGUUGGUGGGGUAAAGGCCUACCAAGGCGACGAUCUGUAGCGGGUCUGAGAGGAUGAUCCGCCACACUGGGACUGAGACACGGCCCAGACUCCUACGGGAGGCAGCAGUGGGGAAUAUUGGACAAUGGGGGGAACCCUGAUCCAGCCAUGCCGCGUGUGUGAAGAAGGCCUUAUGGUUGUAAAGCACUUUAAGCGAGGAGGAGGCUACUUUAGUUAAUACCUAGAGAUAGUGGACGUUACUCGCAGAAUAAGCACCGGCUAACUCUGUGCCAGCCGCCGCGGUAAGAC